rnacentral:rRNA from 1 species
UACGUAGGUGGCAAGCGUUGUCCGGAAUUAUUGGGCGUAAAGCGCGCGCAGGCGGUUUCUUAAGUCUGAUGUGAAAGCCCACGGCUCAACCGUGGAGGGUCAUUGGAAACUGGGGGACUUGAGUGCAGAAGAGGAAAGUGGAAUUCCAAGUGUAGCGGUGAAAUGCGUAGAGAUUUGGAGGAACACCAGUGGCGAAGGCGACUUUCUGGUCUGUAACUGACACUGAGGCGCGAAAGCGUGGGGAGCGAACGGG